UACAGAGGUCUCAAGCGUUGUUCGGAAUCACUGGGCGUAAAGGGUGCGUAGGCGGCGUGGUAAGUCAGAGGUGAAAUCCCGGAGCUCAACUUCGGAACUGCCUCCGAUACUGCCGUGCUUGAGGACUGGAGAGGAGUCUGGAAUUCACAGUGGAGCAGUGAAAUGCGUAGAUAUUGUGAGGAACACUAGUGGCGAAGGCGAGACUCUGGACAGUUCCUGACGCUGAGGCACGAAGGCCAGGGGAGCAAACGGG
rnacentral:rRNA from 1 species